UACGGAAGGCGCAAGCGUUGUUCGGAAUCACUGGGCUUAAAGGGCGUGUAGGCGGAGUGGUGGGUGUCGUGUGAAAUCCCCCGGCUCAACCGGGGAACGGCUCGGCAUACGACCACUCUUGAGGCAGGUAGAGGCGACUGGAACGUUUGGUGGAGCGGUGAAAUGCGUAGAGAUCAAACGGAACACCGGUGGCGAAGGCGAGUCGCUGGGCCUGUUCUGACGCUGAGACGCGAAAGCGUGGGUAGCAAACAGG
rnacentral:rRNA from 1 species